UACGAAGGGGGCGAGCGUUGUUCGGAUUUACUGGGCGUAAAGGGCGCGUAGGCGGCCUUCUAAGUCGAACGUGAAAUCCCCGGGCUCAACCCGGGAACUGCGUCCGAUACUGGAAGGCUUGAAUCCGGGAGAGGGAUGCGGAAUUCCAGGUGUAGCGGUGAAAUGCGUAGAUAUCUGGAGGAACACCGGUGGCGAAGGCGGCAUCCUGGACCGGCAUUGACGCUGAGGCGCGAAAGCCAGGGGAGCAAACGGG
rnacentral:rRNA from 1 species